rnacentral:rRNA from 1 species
GAUGAACGCUGGCGGCGUGCCUAAUACAUGCAAGUCGAGCGAACAGAUGAGGAGCUUGCUCCUCUGACGUUAGCGGCGGACGGGUGAGUAACACGCGGAUAACCUACCUAUAAGACUGGGAUAACUUCGGGAAACCGGAGCUAAUACCGGAUAAUAUAUUGAACCGCAUGGUUCAAUGGUGAAAGACGGUUUUGCUGUCACUUAUAGAUGGAUCCGCGCCGCAUUAGCUAGUUGGUAAGGUAACGGCUUACCAAGGCAACGAUGCGUAGCCGACCUGAGAGGGUGAUCGGCCACACUGGAACUGAGACACGGUCCAGACUCCUACGGGAGGCAGCAGUAGGGAAUCUUCCGCAAUGGGCGAAAGCCUGACGGAGCAACGCCGCGUGAGUGAUGAAGGUCUUCGGAUCGUAAAACUCUGUUAUUGGGGAAGAACAAAUGUGUAAGUAACUAUGCACGUCUUGACGGUACCUAAUCAGAAAGCCACGGCUAACUACGUG